rnacentral:rRNA from 1 species
GAUGAACGCUGGCGGCGUGCCUAAUACAUGCAAGUCGAGCGAAUGGAUUAAGAGCUUGCUCUUAUGAAGUUAGCGGCGGACGGGUGAGUAACACGUGGGUAACCUGCCCAUAAGACUGGGAUAACUCCGGGAAACCGGGGCUAAUACCGGAUAACAUUUUGAACCGCAUGGUUCGAAAUUGAAAGGCGGCUUCGGCUGUCACUUAUGGAUGGACCCGCGUCGCAUUAGCUAGUUGGUGAGGUAACGACUCACCAAGGCAACGAUGCGUAGCCGACCUGGGGGGGUGAUCGGCCACACGGGGACUGAGAAACGGACCAGACUCCUACGGGAGGCAGCAGUAGGGAAUCUUCCGCAAUGGACGAAAGUCUGACGGAGCAACGCCGCGUGAGUGAUGAAGGCUUUCGGGUCGUAAAACUCUGUUGUUAGGGAAGAACAAGUGCUAGUUGAAUAAGCUGGCACCUUGACGGUACCUAACCAGAAAGCCACGGCUAACUACGUGCCAGCCGCCGCAGUAA